rnacentral:tRNA from 3 species
GCGCCCGUAGCUCAGUGGAUAGAGCGCUGGUCUCCGGAACCAGGUGCGCAAGUUCGAUUCUUGCCGGGCGCACCA